rnacentral:rRNA from 1 species
GGCGGAUUAGUGGCGAACGGGUGAGUAAUACGUGAGUAACCUGCCCUUGACUCUGGGAUAAGCCUGGGAAACUGGGUCUAAUACUGGAUACUACCUCUUGCCGCAUGGUGGGUGGUGGAAAGGGUUCUACUGGUUUUGGAUGGGCUCACGGCCUAUCAGCUUGUUGGUGGGGUAAUGGCUCACCAAGGCGACGACGGGUAGCCGGCCUGAGAGGGUGACCGGCCACACUGGGACUGAGACACGGCCCAGACUCCUACGGGAGGCAGCAGUGGGGAAUAUUGCACAAUGGGCGGAAGCCUGAUGCAGCGACGCCGCGUGAGGGAUGACGGCCUUCGGGUUGUAAACCUCUUUCAGUAGGGAAGAAGCGAGAGUGACGGUACCUGCAGAAGAAGCGCCGGCUAACUACGUGCCAGCAGCCGCGGUAAUACGUAGGGCGCAAGCGUUGUCCGGAAUUAUUGGGCGUAAAGAGCUCGUAGGCGGUUUGUCGCGUCUGCUGUGAAAGCCCGGGGCUCAACCCCGGGUCUGCAGUGGGUACGGGCAGACUAGAGUGCAGUAGGGGAGACUGGAAUUCCUGGUGUAGCGGUGAAAUGCGCAGAUAUCAGGAGGAACACCGAUGGCGAAGGCAGGUCUCUGGGCUGUUACUGACGCUGAGGAGCGAAAGCAUGGGGAGCGAACAGGAUUAGAUACCCUGGUAGUCCAUGCCGUAAACGUUGGGCACUAGGUGUGGGGGACAUUCCACGUUUUCCGCGCCGUAGCUAACGCAUUAAGUGCCCCGCCUGGGGAGUACGGCCGCAAGGCUAAAACUCAAAGGAAUUGACGGGGGCCCGCACAAGCGGCGGAGCAUGCGGAUUAAUUCGAUGCAACGCGAAGAACCUUACCAAGGCUUGACAUUCACCGGACCGCCCCAGAGAUGGGGUUUCCCUUCGGGGCUGGUGGACAGGUGGUGCAUGGUUGUCGUCAGCUCGUGUCGUGAGAUGUUGGGUUAAGUCCCGCAACGAGCGCAACCCUCGUUCUAUGUUGCCAGCACGUGAUGGUGGGGACUCAUAGGAGACUGCCGGGGUCAACUCGGAGGAAGGUGGGGAUGACGUCAAAUCAUCAUGCCCCUUAUGUCUUGGGCUUCACGCAUGCUACAAUGGCCGGUACAAAGGGUUGCGAUACUGUGAGGUGGAGCUAAUCCCAAAAAGCCGGUCUCAGUUCGGAUUGAGGUCUGCAACUCGACCUCAUGAAGUCGGAGUCGCUAGUAAUCGCAGAUCAGCAACGCUGCGGUGAAUACGUUCCCGGGCCUUGUACACACCGCCCGUCAAGUCACGAAAGUUGGUAACACCCGAAGCCGG